rnacentral:lncRNA from 1 species
GAUUUUUCAUCUCCUUUUUUAUUUUUUAUUUUUUUACUUACUAAAACGACGUCGUGGCCCAAAAGCCCGCUUUCGAAAAGAACCGGGCCGACCCAUUGACCCGGUUCGGCGAAACCCUACCCGAUUCGCCGAACCGGAUUUCCGCCGCCCAAAAAUCACGGAAACCCUACCCGACUCGCCGACCCGGAUCCGACUCCACGACCCGGCUUCCAACCUCCCUUGGCCUCGCGAAACCCUACCCGACUCGCCGACCCGGCUCCGAUUCGGCGACCUGGAAAAUCGCAAACCCUAGGGUUUGCAAAUCCACGGCGCCGAGGGAGGAAAAACCGAGGCAUUACGGCGGCGACGGCGGUGGCGACGGUAACAAACCGCCUACGGGGACGGCGAGGACGAGCAACAACACGGUGGCGCUGGUGUGGUUGGUGGCGACGUGGUCCAAGAGGGGGAAUGCGACGGCGAUAACGCGAUCGACGGCGGUGACAGUUACUGUUACCUGUCCGUGACGGCAAACUUGAACGGCGAACGGUGGCGACGACGGUGGCUACGACGGUGGCAACUCAGCCUCCCGAUCCGGCGCGGCUUUGGCGGAUCGAUCACGGCAAUGGCUCUGCAAGGGGGGGAAACACAACAACAAACCCUUCGAGGCGACGGCGUCGGGACUUGAACGGCGUCCGGCGGCAACAGCAGCAAAAAAAAAACCAGAUCUACUCGGCCGGACCCUCCUCGGCCUUGAUUUCUCCUCACUCAGGCCAGAUUCGAGCCUCCACCGGCCGGAUCUGACCUUCUCGAAGUCACUCGCCGCCGGCCUUCCCCGAAGUCUCUCGGUG